rnacentral:sRNA from 1 species
ACAACUGCAAAUUACCUCAAAUUUGGGUUUUUAAGUUUAAGGGAUUUUAAAUGGACUUGAAUUUUGAUGAACUGAAAUCUUAUGAAGUUCAGUAUUUGCUUGUAAAUUUAGAUUAUGUAGUUUUUGAAAUUUUUUUUUCGUUUUCCCCAAUACUUACAUGGGAUUUUGUGAUGAUAAGACAUGACUAAAAUAGACUAUAAUUGUAGAGUUGACUUUUUUUUUACAAAAAAAUUAUAGAUAUUUAAUUUUCGUUAUGUGUUCAAGUUAUAAGUGUUCGUAGGUGACAAUUAAAGCAAACAACCAGGGAUUUCUUUUUGUUCUUUUAAUAUUUUGUUGAUACAUGUAAAAGGAAGAAAUAUUGUAAGAAACACAUUGUUGUUGGUAUUUUUUUAAAAAUGCAAUUACAUCAGUCGGUACAAGUAGAUGAUAUUAAAGUACUACGAUAGACCCCCCCCCCUCUCAUGUUGUGUGUUAGCUCUCUCUAUGUGUGAUACUAAUGAUUACUACUGAGUAGAAACGAACAGUCUUAAAACAAGUUAAGGUGCUUCCCCAGUUUUUUAAGUUAUGCAACUUUGUUUUGUAGUCUAGAAUUGUUAUGUUUGCUUUACCAAUAAAUACUACAAAACCCUG